UUGUUUCAUGGCGGUUUGGUGCACUUCCGCCACCUACUGGGUUGGAGUGUAGAGCAUCAACGCGAAGGCAAAAAAACCCCCUAAAAACAAAGAAAAACUAUCGACUAUAUCCUUCUAUACAACUUUGUUCCCUUAAGACAAUGACGUGAGAGGCCGUUGACGUUGGCCUGACAGAGUCAGCGGUUUCAUUCCUCUUUGAGGGAUCAUUUAAAAAGCAAGCGAAAUUCCAUCGAUUUGUACAACAGAUGAAGGAAACCAUGAUGUUAACACUUGAACCUGAAAUAUAUCAACAGAAAACACUAUUUGAACAGAUCAGGUAGGAGCUUUAACAUGGAGAAAAAGCAGGGUGCACGUUCUCAGCCCAGCGUGCCCAGAGUUUUUGGUGCAACACUAUUAUUUAUGUUUACUGUGUAAUCAUGUGUUCAUUAAAUUUACCACUGCAUAUGAAUUGACAAAAAGGUUGAACAGGAAAAGGGUAGGGCAAGUUAGUAUUAUUGUUAGUUAAUUAAUGCAGUAAUUGGUCUUUUCAGUAUUAAAAACAGGUACUGUACAGUAUAUUAUGUAUACCCCUUAGAGAUUGACCGAGAGUGGAUUUUACCGAUAUCGAUAACUGUUGAGCGGUACCGACCUGCUGAUAACCAGGUAUAAGAUAAGUAUCUGCCUGUACUUCUCAGCAUUGAGGAGACCAUUAAUUCUGACCAAAUCCCCACUCCAUUUGCAGAAAUGCAGCCCCAAACUUGCAAGGAACCUCCACCAUGCUUCACUGUUGCCUGUACCACUCUCCAGCCCUUUAACAAACUGCCUUCUGCUAUAGCCAAAUAUGUCAAAUUUUGACUCAUCAAUCCAAAGCUGCCAUUUUUCUGCUCCCAAGUUCUUCGUGCAUAGUUUAGUUGCUUGGCCCUGUUUCCACGUUGGAGAUAUGUUUUUUUGGCCACAAGUCUUCCAUGAAGGCCACUUCUGACCAGACUUCUUUGGACUGUAGAUGGGUGUACCAGACUCCCACUGGUUUCUACCAGGUCUGAGCUGGUGGCACUGCUGGACAUCUUCCAAUUGCGAAGGGAAGUAAGUCUGAUGUGUCUCUGACCUGCUGCAGUACGUUUCCUUGGCCGACCACUGCAUCUACGGUCCUCAACGUUGUCUGUUUCUUUGUGCUUCUUCAAAAGAGCUAGCACCUGUUUAGUAUAAUUGUUUAAUCAUACACCUGACUAUAUGCCUACAAAAUCCACGACCGUGUGUAAGAGUACCUAGAAGAACGGAUGCUGUUUUGAAGGCAAAGGGUGGUCGCACGAAAUAUUGAUUUGAUGUAGAUUUUUCUACUGUUUGCUCACUUUGCAUUUUGUUCAUUGAUAAAUAUAAACUUUUUCUAUUUGUCUAUUUUUGAAAGCAUUCUUACUGUACAGCAUUUUUCACACCUGCCUAAAACUUUUGCACAGUACUGUACAUAUGAACUAUAUUAAUAAAUAUUAAAGUAAAUAAGAUAAUACAUCCAAACUGAACCACAUGGGAAGUAUCCCAUCCUGUGCAGAGUGUGUAGCCUCACGUGUCAAAACAAACACCAUGAGGUGUCAGCUGACCCUUCUCAGCUGCUCCCGCAAUGGAUGUAACCGGGAAAAACUAUGUUAUUAUUGCUAAUAACCGACAGUUCCAGCAAUCAGUUAUCGACAAAACUCAUCAAUCAGUUGACCUCUAAUACCUGUAACACUGCAAUGCCUAAUUAUUACUUUCUCUUUUUUACCACAGUAUCAGUCCAUCAACAGGUUUUCUUGCAGUUUUUUAAGUUCCUAAGUUUCCUUUUGAUGUUCAGGCCAAGUUGGACCAAAAACAACGCAAACUUUCGACAUCAGAGAAACAAAAUGAUAAAAACAUUGUAUGAAAGCAUGGCUCAGUACAAGAUGUGUCUGACUAAGGAAGAGUAUGUUCGAGUGGCUAAGGCCCUGACUCUGAGGUACCCCUUUUUAAAGGACAAAGAGGGCAAUGGAGAUGUAUUAUUUUGAAUAGCACACAUGGCACACGUCUCUGAAACGCACGAUUAAAUUUGAGCGGACACGUUCGGCUGAUGUUGAAAAGAUUUAAACAGAAGUUUUAGUCAUUCGAAAAAAGCCUCUGCAACCUGACAGCAGUGGCAAAAAAAUUGCAAGGCCUUUGGUGAGAGAAUAUAUUUUAUUUUUACAAUGAUUUAUUUUUCCUAUGAUUUUACUUAUGAUUGUGUCUUUGUAAACUAAUUGCAGCUUUAUCAAGAAAUUGGUUUCCUGUAUAAAUCUGUUAACCUAUGUCGCCAAGUUCAAGAAAAUUCAGGGCUGCUCCGUGUGACCAAGGGGCGGUGUUAUCAAGUCCUGUGCAUCCUCAUCCACUCCCAGAUUCACUUUGUUCUUCAUUUUGCGUCUCAAAGAAUGGAAAAAAAAGACAUUGAGUUACCAAUCGAGAAUCAAUGUUCUUGAAAAAGCAUCCAGUGUGCUACGGCUUGCUCAAGGGAAAUCUCUUUUAGCAAAGCUGCACAAAGAGACUAGAGAAGAAUCUCUCUGUGAAGACCACCUUGGUAUUGAUUUCAAAGCAGCUCUUUUGAUGUUGCCAGCCUUGUUUGAGGAGAAACUCGAACAUUUCAUUGUGCUUGGGGGGGUGCGCAUAUAGUUCUGUCUAUGCCUUGUAUGUCCGUGAUAAAUGCAUUUAUGCAUUUUAGAAUUCUUAAACUUUAUUUACUGUGUCCACAUAGAAAUAGGAUGAAUAAUAAUUAUCUUACACUUCAUGCACGUAGAUUAUUUCACUUAAGUCAUCUGCUGUGAAAAUCUGUCUGAGAUCAAAUCUGAUUUGUGCUCUGUCAUUUAGAAUGAACCAUCAUCACCAUAUCCAACUGUUCAAGUACCAGAAGUCACUGACUGGAAAACUGUGUUUACAAGAAGAGUCACUGCAGUCUUCACAAAUUUUAGAGAAUCUUUUAUUUAUUUAUGGAAUGUUUUUAAAUCGGAGAAGGUGGCGUUUAGUUCUGUACAACAGUGGUGGGAUGUGGCUCAAGCUCAAAUUAACGCAUUUUGUCAACAGUACACUCUUAAUGUCACAAGAGACAUUGUCAGAUCUCUGAAAGCCCUGGAGACUGGAAUAGUGGAACUCCAGUGUUUGGAGACCACAGGAGUUCGAGGGCAGAUUGAAGCCCUCAAAAGUAAAAAAGCUAUAAUGAAUGACCUGUUGGGCAUCACAGCACAGGGGGCGCUGGUCCGCUCACGCUUUAAAAGCAUGAAUGAGACGGAUGCUCCUUCUAAGUUCUUUUUUGGUCUAGAGCAGAAGAAUGGACAGAAGAGCUUCAUACAUGCUGUGCGAACAGAAUCAGGGGAUCUUCCGUCAGAUCCCACUGAAAUCCGCAAGCAGACAGUUAGCUUCUACUCGAAGCUGUACAGCAGCGAGCGGUCAGGGGCACAGAUAGUGGAGGAGAGCUUCCUCAAGAACCUGCCGAAACUCUCGGAGCAUGUGGCCAGAGAUAUGGACGUAGAGAACCUGCCGAAACCUUAAGAACCUGCCAAAACUCUCGGAGCAUGUGGCCAGAGAUAUGGACGUAGAGCUAACGCUGGUAGAGCUCUAUGAGGCUCUCCAAGGGAUGGAGAACGGACGGGCGCCAGGCAUAGACGGUCUCCCUGUAGAGUUCUACAAAGCCUUCUGGACAGUUGUAGGGCAGGAUGUGCUAGAAGUGUUGCUAGACAGUGUGAAGGGAGGUGAGCUCCCAUUGAGCUGCAGGAGAGCCGUCCUGACCCUCCUACAAAAAAAGGGAGACCUGACACACUUGAAGAACUGGCACCCGGUCUCACUGUUUUCCACUGACUACAAGCUGCUCUCAAAAGCAUUAGCUUAAGACUGACUAAGGUAAUGGAGCAAAUCAUGACCAGACGUACUAUGGGCCUGGCCGGUCUAUAUUUGAUAACGUACACUUAAUUCGUGGCAUUUUGGAUGUCUCCAGGCUAUUGGGCUUAAAGACUGGUCUUAUUUUUCUAGAUCAGGAAAAGGCUUUUGACCGGGUUGAACAUGAAUACUUGUGGAAGGUGCUGGAAACCUUUGGUUUCAACCCAGGUUUCAUAGCCAUGAUCAAGACUUUGUACAGUGAAAUUGAGAGUGUACUGAAGGUUAAUGGUGGUUUGUGUGCCCCUUUUAGAGUCUACAGAGGUAUUAGACAAGGCUGUUCUCUGUCAGGUGUGCUGUACACCCUAGCAUUUGAACCUCUUUUAUGUAAACUGAGAGAUCAACUUUCUGGUUUUAAAAUGUCUCACUCCAGUGCUUCUCUCUGUCUCUCAGCAUAUGCAGAUGACCUGGUUGUAAUGCUGGGAGCACAGACUGAUGUGAAUAUUUUAAUUGAUGUUUUAAAAGAUUUUGAGAUUUUAUCAUCUGCCAAGGUCAACUGGGCCAAAAGCGAAGCCAUUUUAGUUGGAGAGUGGGGUGGUGGUGGGCAGCCCACAUUACCAGCUGGUUUGGUGUGGAAAAAGGGUGGUUUUAAGUACUUGGGUGUUUAUCUGGGCUGCAUUGAGUUUUUAAAUAAAAAUUGGGAGGGUGUUUUUGAACAGGUGAAGGACAAACUGAGCAGGUGGAAGUGGCUGGUCCCAAAAAUGUCUUACAGGGGACAAACGCUGAUCAUCAACAACUUGGCAGCACCAAUCCUGUGACUUGCUCUCAAGCAUCCAGGCCCUGCUAGUGGACUUCUUCUGGGACAGACUACACUGGAUCCCUCAGUGUGUCCUUCAUCUGCCCAAGGAGGGGUGGGGGCAGGGGCUGGUCCACAUAGCCAGCAGAACUGCAACCUUGGCGACUCCAGUUCAUCCAGAGACUCCUCACUGGACCUAGGAGGUUGGUAUGGAGAUCAGCAGCCUAUAGGCUGUUACACACAGUAGGAGGCCUGGGGUUGGACAGAACUUUGAUUUUAAUGGACACAAGAGCACUAGACUUUGCUGGAUUACCAGUUUUUUUAUCGUGGGCUUUUUAAAAUAUGGAACCUUUUUAAAAAACAAAUCAAGGAGUGCAGAACUCCACACUGGCUGCUGGAGGAACCCCUGGUUCAUGGUGGGCGAUUAGACAUCUCUGGUGUGACCACUCCUUCAUUAUCCAGGGUUCUGGUCUCCUCGGUUAUUGUGACACUCCGGCAGCUGGUGAACAUCACAGGGACGGACCUGUCACGGGCAGAGGACUAAGCAGCGCACCUGGGACUACGGUCCCUAUGUGUUGUGAAUAAGCUCCUACAUCGCUGGAGGUCCACCCUAACGUCAGAGGAGUGUGUUCAGCUGAUGGACAACUAAACAAGCGAGACUGGGCCUACAGAGGAGGAACCUUUUCCACAGCUGGGCAUCGCUCCAGAUCUAGAUGGGUGUGGGGGCCUUCUCGUGGAGUUCAGAGGUGACAUGAACAUUGAGACAGUGUCCGGUAAGCUUCUGAAAAAAGCCUGCAUGAAAGUUUUAAAUAAAAAACUGAAUGGGAGAGUGGACACCCCAUGGCGAAGUGUACUGGGUUUUAAUGAUGAUAUUAAACCACUGUUAACCAAAAAAUUCGCUGCCCUCCAAUGGAGGAUUUUACAUGGAAUUGUUUCUGUGAAUUCUUUUAUCUCCAUUUUGAACCCCAAGGUCACACAGGAAUGUCCGUUCUGUUCACAGAGAGAGACUGUUUUUCAUGCGUUUAUACAUUGCUCCAGGUUGCAGCCAUUGUUUGUCUUUUUAAAAAACAACCUGAGGUCAUUUUAUGUGGAUUUUACUUUUCAGAUUUUUAUCUUUGGUUCUAAGUACGUCAGAAGGAACAGGUUCAAAUGUCAGCUGAUCAAAUUUAUCGUUGGCCAGGCCAAAAUGGUGAUAUACCAGAGCAGAAAAAACCAAAGUGGCACAAAACACAGACUGCGACGCCAUAAAAGUUCUCUCCAGACUGAUCAAAUCACGAAUUCUGAUCGAUUUGAACGUUUACAGUAGUAUGGGAGACUUGGAGAUGUUCAAGGCAGGGUUGUGUUGCGAGGAGGCUCUGUGUUCUGUAGUGGAGGGAGAACUUUGUUUUACACCAGCAUUAGGCUGAUAAUGUUCUGAACAACCAAUUGUUGUUGCGCUGACUUAUUUAUUUAAUUGACUUUUUUUAAUGCUCAUUUAAAUAUUUAUUUAUUUAUUGAGUCACCUUGACUUGAAUGUGCAUGGUGUGACUUUUGAUAAAUAAAGCAUUGUAAAAAGUCUCUCUCUCUCUCUCUCUCUCUCGUAUAUAAAACAUUAACCUCGAUGUAUACACCAGGGGAAAAAAAUGAAAAAAAUGAAUUCAAGUAAAAUUAUAAUUGAUUAAUUCAAGAGUGAACAUACAUUCCUUAUUAUGGCUUCUU